rnacentral:rRNA from 1 species
AUUGAACGCUGGCGGCAUGCCUUACACAUGCAAGUCGAACGGUAACAGGUCUUCGGAUGCUGACGAGUGGCGAACGGGUGAGUAAUACAUCGGAACGUGCCCGAGAGUGGGGGAUAACGAGGCGAAAGCUUUGCUAAUACCGCAUACGAUCUCAGGAUGAAAGCAGGGGACCGCAAGGCCUUGCGCUCACGGAGCGGCCGUUGGCAGAUUGGGUAGUUGGUGGGAUAAAAGCUUACCAAGCCGACGAUCUGUAGCUAGUCUGAGAGGACGACCAGCCCAAUUGGGGCUGAGAAACGGCCCAGACUCCUACGGGAAGAGGCAGUGGGGAAUUUUGGACAGUGGGCGCAAGCCUGAGCCAGCCAUUCCGCGUGCAGGAUGAAGGCCCUCGGGUUGUAAACUGCUUCUGUACGGAACGAAACGCGCCGGGCUAAUACCCUGGCGUAAUGACGGUACCGUAAGAAUAAGCACCGGCUAACUACGUGCCAGCCGCCGCGGUAACAC